UCUCUGCCCCGCACAUGCGCGGUUUCCCCUCUCCCGAGUUCUCUGAGCGGCUUCUCCCUCUGGCCGGAGCUGUCAGCCGGUUGCCUGGAAACCUUGGCUCGAGGAGGGGGAGGGGGAGGGGGAACAAUGGAUGGUGGCGGGGCUCCUGUGUCCGCGCGUCGGGCCUGCAGACUGGAACCCGAUGACGUCACCGCGGAGCAGAGUGAUUCCUAUUGGCUGAUUCAGGCAGGGUUCCAUUGUGGACGUCACAAUGCGGAAGUUGGACAAUGAGCUUCAGACUAAAACUUCCUCCUCUGGACAACAUCUGAUAUUAGGAGGGGAGGAUUUACAGACCGAAAUUUCAAACCAAACUUCAUGUCAAGAUCUGACAGUGUCACUCAAUUCCUCAAGACCUGAAUAUCAUCAGCCUUUGACUCUGGGAGAAAUGUUUGUCUGUUCUGUCUGCUUCAUAAGAUUUCAAACAUCAAGUGACUGGAAAAACACCGAGACACACAUACCCAAGUGAGAGUGUUCCAGUGAACUGACUGUGAAAAGAGCUUUAAAGAGUUACACAGCCUGAAAAAACAUCACCGUUCACGGCGGAGAGAAACUGUACACGUGUUCUCUGUGUGAACGAAGCUUCAACUGAUCAUCGGCCAUGGAGAGACACAAGGAUACCCGCACCAUGGAGAAACCGUGGAAAUGUGGGGACUGUGGGAAGGGAUUCAAAUCCCCAUCUGCACUGGACACCCAUCGACGCAUUCACACCGGGGAGAGGCCGUUCAUCUGCUCCGUGUGUGGGAAGGGAUUCACCAAGUCAUCAAACCUGCUGACACACAAGCGAGUUCACACCGGGGAGAGGCCAUUCAUCUGCUCCGUGUGUGGAAAGAGAUUCACUGAGUCAUCCAGCCUGCGGAGACAUCAGAAACUUUUCAACUAAAUACAGAUUUUGGAUUUUGCUGUUAUUGCUGCUGUUAAUCACAUCCAGGACUAAACCACGUUCAUUCUGACAGUUGGUGAAGUGGGAGGGUCGGAGGGUUUCUUUCUGCUGGACUGGCCGGUCUCAUGACUUUGCUUCCAGUGGCUGAUGCUCUUUGGGACUUGUUGCGAAUAUCUAGUUUCAUAUUUCAUAUGAAUUACAGAAUGAAAGGGUGUUUGGAAUGGAAAAUAUUUUUAGUUUGAAACUGUUUGGAACUUUCCAGAACAUGCCAGGUUGCCAUGGAGAUGGGCUGUGCUGGUUGGAAGGUUCUUUUGUUUAAUUUUUCUGGGUGUUUCUGACAGAAGGAAACGACAAAGGUACCAGUCUAAGCUGCAUGUGGUAGAUUGGGAAACUACAUUAAAAGUUAUGAUGCUAGACACACAAUUUAA